rnacentral:rRNA from 1 species
GCAAGUCGAACGAGACGAGAUGGAAUGACCCUUCGGGGGAAUGAAAUCUUAGAAAGUGGCGAACGGGUGAGUAACGCGUGGGUAACCUGCCCUAUGGAAAGGAAUAGCCUCGGGAAACUGGGAGUAAUGCCUUAUAAUACAGUGAAGUCGCAUGGCUUUGCUGUUAAACGCUCCGGUGCCAUAGGAUGGACCCGCGUCCCAUUAGCUAGUUGGUAAGAUAACAGCCCACCAAGGCGACGAUGGGUAACCGGUCUGAGAGGGGGAGC